rnacentral:rRNA from 1 species
AGUGAACGCUGGCGGUAGGCCUAACACAUGCAAGUCGAACGGCAACACAGUAAGAGCUUGCUCUUACGGGUGGCGAGUGGCGGACGGGUGAGGAAUACAUCGGAAUCUACUUUUUCGUGGGGGAUAACGUAGGGAAACUUACGCUAAUACCGCAUACGACCUACGGGUGAAAGCAGGGGAUCUUCGUACCUUGCGCGAUUGAAUGAGCCGAUGUCGGAUUAGCUAGUUGGCGGGGUAAAGGCCCACCAAGGCGACGAUCCGUAGCUGGUCUGAGAGGAUGAUCAGCCACACUGGAACUGAGACACGGUCCAGACUCCUACGGGAGGCAGCAGUGGGGAAUAUUGGACAAUGGGCGCAAGCCUGAUCCAGCCAUACCGCGUGGGUGAAGAAGGCCUUCGGGUUGUAAAGCCCUUUUGUUGGGAAAGAAAAGCAGCAGGUUAAUACCCCGCUGUUCUGACGGUACCCAAAGAAUAAGCACCGGCUAACUUCGUG